rnacentral:rRNA from 1 species
CCUACGGGAGGCAGCAGUGGGGAAUAUUGGACAAUGGGGGCAAGCCUGAUCCAGCCAUACCGCGUGGGUGAAGAAGGCCUUCGGGUUGUAAAGCCCUUUUGUUGGGAAAGAAAAGCAGUCGGUUAAUACCCGGUUGUCUGACGUACUCAAAGAUAGCCCCG